UGCCGCGUGAAUGAUGAAGGUCUUAGGAUUGUAAAAUUCUUUCACCGGGGACGAUAAUGACGGUACCCGGAGAAGAAGCCCCGGCUAACUUCGUGCCAGCAGCCGCGGUAAUACGAAGGGGGCUAGCGUUGCUCGGAAUUACUGGGCGUAAAGGGAGCGUAGGCGGAUAGUUUAGUCAGAGGUGAAAGCCCAGGGCUCAACCUUGGAAUUGCCUUUGAUACUGGCUAUCUUGAGUACGGAAGAGGUAUGUGGAACUCCGAGUGUAGAGGUGAAAUUCGUAGAUAUUCGGAAGAACACCAGUGGCGAAGGCGACAUACUGGUCCGUUACUGACGCUGAGGCUCGAAAGCGUGGGGAGCAAACAGGAUUAGAUACCCUGGUAGUCCACGCUGUAAACGAUGAGUGCUAGUUGUCGGCAUGCAUGCAUGUCGGUGACGCAGCUAACGCAUUAAGCACUCCGCCUGGG
rnacentral:rRNA from 1 species